rnacentral:rRNA from 1 species
GAUGAACGCUGGCGGCGUGCUUAACACAUGCAAGUCGAACGGGAAUUCUUUUAUUGACACUUCGGUCGAUUUAAUGUACUUCUAGUGGCGGCCGGGUGAGUAACGCCUGGGUAACCUGCCUUAUACAGGGGGAUAACAGUCAGAAAUGGCUGCUAACACUGCAUCAGCGCACAGAGCUGCAUGUCUCAGUGUUAAAAACUCCGGUGGUAUAAGAUGGACCCGCGUUGGAUUUGCUUGUUGGCAGGGGAACGGCCUACCAAGGCGACGAUCCCUAGCCGGCGAGAGAGAGUGGCCGGACACAUUGGGACUGAGACACGGCACAGACUCUUACGGGAGGCAGGAGUGGGGAAUAUUGCACAACGGGGGAAACACUGAUGAAGCGCCGCCGCGUGAAGGAAGAAGUAUGUGGGUAAGUAAACUUCUAUCAGCAGGGAAGAUAGUGACGGUACCUGACGAAGAAGCCACGGCUAACUACGUG